ensembl:processed_transcript
UGUGUUUCAUAGAUGGUGUGUCUGGCUGAGACCAAAGGAGCCAUGCCAGGUACAUGUUUUAGCAAUGCUUUUUGUAGUAUUAGCUUGAAUAUAUAAUACUUAGACCUAGUGAAUUCUUGCUCACCCUGAUGAAUUGAAUACCGCCCCAGUCUGAUAGCUGUGAAGAAAGGUAUUUUCUGAGUUGUGAGCUCAUCUUGGAUUAAGUAGGAGAUUUUUUUAUGUUAGUAUGAUUUCUGUAAAAGAAGCUUAAAUGUUAAUGGCCCAAAAUUUUUUGCUGUUUUUCAGGAAAGUUAAAGCGUAUCUUCAUUUUUAAGUCCAGGCUAAAGUAAGGUCUGAGGAAAAGAAUGAGCUGCAUGAGAAAGAUAGGUAAGUCCAUCAUCUAUUGUCUCAUCUGGUAUUAAAUGUAGGAUGACUUGGCUUUCUACUCCUAAAUCAAAUUUUUUUAUCUUACAGGAACAGAUCAUCAAAUCUGAUUGUCCGGGCCAGUGUUGCAUCAUAACAGGCCACUUUAAAAUGAAGUGAAAUUGACAAUUGUGAAUUUAACCUUCCUUGAUUACUACAUUGUUAACUCUAGGAACUAGUAUCUGGUCCUUACUACAUUGUUAACUUGUAGACCUGUGUUUAUGUCUAGCAAUAAAUGCUCUUUAUGCUA